AGGGCAAUUGAGCAAAAUGUCCACUAGAUGACAGCAAAUGAACCCAUCACGACCCUACAGGAAGGUGACGAUGAGGAUCACCCCAGACGCUCAGAGGCCAGCUCCUCCCAAGAAGGGAUCAGGAAGAGGAGUAACGCAGGUUCCACAACAACUGGAGAGGAUGCGGAAGAGGCCAACACAGAGGGGGAGGAAGAAAUCAAGACUAUCUAACCACACGAAGCAGGACCAGAACAAGGCUGUGAUCAACAUUUCUGGAGAACCCCUUUCUGAUGAUUACAUAAGGGAAUCUACAUCUGAAGGCCUGGUACAAACAAAGCCUCUCUCCAACUACAGACGCCAGUGUCUCAGGUCAGGCAGUUUCUGUUCCCUCUAAAACACAUUUUUAGCCCAAGUCCACUUUUUUUCCCCUGGUUUAAAUUAAGAUAUGGAUUUCUCACCCUUCCUGUAGGGUCGUGAGGGCCUUCCUGUAGGGUCCAUUUGCUGUCAUCUAGUGGACAUUUUGCUCAAUUGCCCUCAGUUAUGGUUAGACUGUUGUUGUUCAUGUUUUGCUGUGUUCUAGUGUAAUAUGGAAUAUAUAGUUUUCUUAUUCUUGACACUUCUCCCAGUCAUAUUUAAGGUUAGAACUACCUUUUAGUGUUCUGAUACUUCAAGUUUGGAGUUGUAUUUUUAUGAUAACAUAGCUACAGUAUUUCACCUUUUAAUGUGUUUCUAUUGAACAUGCCAUACCAAUAAAGGCAUUUUAAUCAAUUA